AAAGAAGGGAGAAAGGAGCAUAGGAAGAAGAAGGAGAAGAGCAAGGGAGGAGGAAGAAGAGGGGAGCAAGGGGAGCACCUACCCAUCAAAGAUGUUGAUUCAGGUAACCACCCAAAGUAUGUAGCUGAUGUGCCGACUCUCUACGGAGGUGACCUCUAGGAUGAGGAGUUAGCUGCCCAUGAGGAUUGUUGCGUAUGUGACGACUGUGCAUUCGGAGCAUGCUGAAGAUGACAGUAUCAUCUACCUUUUGACCCUUUUGUUUUACAUAUUAGAUGUAGCCCUAGUGGCAUAACCGUAAUUAUGACUUCCGUUAUGAAAACCCUUUUGGUAAAUAUGAUAAAUAUCAUUAGACAUUACCAGUUUUGUGUAUCUUGAUUAUUAUCAUAGAUGUGAUUGUAGAUACAUUCCAUAACUUUAUGAACUUAAA